CUCACGACCUGUGCGUGUGAAUUUCCUUCUUGUCACUCACAUGUGUUACAGUGCGAUAGAGAAACUGUUAAACAGUCGCAGCGUUAGAAGCGAAAGAGGAAGGAAAAUGAAGAUGUACUUUUCAACGGUGGUGAUAUUAGCAGGUUGGAUGAUAUUUGUUGGCAGCACAACUGGCACAUCGACAGCAACAACAACUACUGGCACAUCGACAGCAACAGCAGCAACUACUGAAACAUCUACAGCAGCAGCAACUACAGCAUCGAGUUCAUCGGCAUUGCCUUCUACGUACACAGCAUCAGCAAAUGUCACUGAGGGACUAACAACGAAUCAGUCUUUCCCAACGGUCGUCAGUACAAAUCAAAAACCAACUGAUUUACCUACGUCUUCCUCGAGCACUACGAACGACUCUACAUCAGCUCAGACAACGUCAAAUACAACCUCUAGCGAUAAUACUACCUCUACAGCAACUGAGCUCACCAGCGUAGUCAAUAAUGCGACUAACGCGUCGACCACAAUCACAUCGAGUUUGGUGACUGAAACUCACACAACAUCCUCUUCAGCGAGUCUUACCUCAGAGAAAACAACGCUGGGGAGCACGGCAGUGGUUGUUGCUAGUGCCAAAACUACAUCUACGGCAACUAUUACAACUAAACCGGUGUCCUCUUCUACUAGUGUAGUAAUGACAACCGAAAAAACGAAAACCAUCUCAACACAAGACAAAGAUAGUGUUGAACAAGAAAAGAAGAACCCAGAGGCCCUGAGCUCAGUAAGUGUUGCUGCCAUCGUAAUUGGCUUCCUUGUCAUUGUAUUAAUCUUACUUGGUGGGGCGUACUACUUCAAAAUGCGACGUUCUUCUUACGGACGCCUUUUGGAUGAUACUGAUCACAGCACUGUGGGGAAUUUUCUCAACCCAAUGUUUGAUGGUUAAAAAGGGAAGUGUUCAUGAAGAAACAUUAAUUUCUGAGGAACAACCUACACACAUUUCUUUAGCAAUGAAUACGAUGGCAUCAGAUUAUGUAUUUUGGCCUCAAAAUUGCCACGUCAAUCUUCAUCUAAAUCGCCUAAACAUAGAUCAUACACUGAAGAGAAUCAUCAAGAAGUUUUUCAAAUGUACACUCUUAAGAAUAAAGGUUCCAAAAGGGGGUUCUCACUCUUCCAUAGAAGAGCCAGUUUUGGUUCCUCAAAGAAUCCUUCAAGAACCAUUUUUAGAACCUUUUUUUCCACUACAAAGAACCUUUUGUGAAAUGGUAAGAUUCCAUAGAUAUUAAAGGUUCUACAUGGAACCAUCAAUGCCAAUAGAGAACCUUUACUUUUAAGAGUGGCGAGACUUUCUGAAAGUUUUACUAUGAAGGCUGGAAGUGAUGUCCUAGAAAUGUAAUUUUUGUUUGUUUGUGAAAUGUAUUUUCUUAUUGUAUUGGGUAUAUUUUCUGACUAACUAGUUUGCUCUGAUUAAAUGCACACACUGUUCGUCUCA